rnacentral:lncRNA from 1 species
UCAAGGUGGUUGGAGACUUGAAUGAGCUCUUGAGGAGUUGGUGAACUUGAAAUAAAAGCUUCUUGACCUUUUUAAGUGGGCUCUUGCUUAGGGUUGACAUGAAUGCUUGAAGAACCUUUUUCAAAUCUCUUUCUUAUCUUUUAUUCCCUCCUUUAAGUGCCUUUUAUAACUUUAAAUAAUAGUGGAGAGUAAUCUGGACUG